UACGUAGGGCGCAAGCGUUGUCCGGAAUUAUUGGGCGUAAAGAGCUCGUAGGCGGUCAGUCGCGUCUGCUGUGAAAACUCGGGGCUUAACUCCGGGCCUGCAGUGGGUACGGGCUGACUAGAGUGCGGUAGGGGAGACUGGAAUUCCUGGUGUAGCGGUGAAAUGCGCAGAUAUCAGGAGGAACACCGGUGGCGAAGGCGGGUCUCUGGGCCGUAACUGACGCUGAGGCACGAAGGCCAGGGGAGCAAACGGG
rnacentral:rRNA from 1 species